AGAAUCAACGCUGGCGGCGUGCCUAACACAUGCAAGUCGCACGAGAAAGGGGAGCAAUCCCUGAGUAAAGUGGCGCACGGGUGAGUAACACGUGAAUAAUCUACCUCCGAGUGGGGAAUAACUGAGAGAAAUCUUAGCUAAUACCGCAUAACACUUACGAGUCAAAGCAGCAAUGCGCUUGGAGAGGAGUUCGCGGCCGAUUAGUUAGUUGGCGGGGGUAAUGGCCCACCAAGACGAUGAUCGGUA
rnacentral:rRNA from 1 species